AGGAUGAACGCUGGCGGUCUGCUUAACACAUGCAAGUCGAACGGAGUAGCAAUACUUAGUGGCGGACGGGUGAGUAACGCGUGAGAAUCUACCUUCAGGACGGAGACAACAGUUGGAAACGACUGCUAACCCCCGAUGUACUGAAAAGGCAAAUAUUUAUAGCCUGAAGAAGAGCUCGCGUCCGAUUAGCUAGUUGGAGAGGUAAAAGCUCACCAAGGCGACGAUCGGUAGCUGGUCUGAGAGGACGAUCAGCCACACUGGGACUGAGACACGGCCCAGACUCCUACGGGAGGCAGCAGUGGGGAAUUUUCCGCAAUGGGCGAAAGCCUGACGGAGCAAGACCGCGUGGGGGGAAGAAGGCUCUUGGGUUGUAAACCCCGUUUUUCUCUUGGGGAAGAACACAAUGACGGUACCAGAGGAAUCAGCAUCGGCUAACUCCGUGCCAGCAGCCGC
rnacentral:rRNA from 1 species